GCUGGGUGUGGUGGUGCACGCCUGUAAUCCCAGAGGCUUAGGAGGCUGAGAAAGGAGGAUUGCGAAUUCAAAGACGGCCUCAGCAAAAGGGGAGCACUAGGCAACUCAGUGAGACCUUGUCUCUA
rnacentral:sRNA from 1 species